GACGAACGCUGGCGGCGUGCCUAAUACAUGCAAGUAGCACGCUGAAGAGAGGAGCUUGCUCUUCUUGGGGGAGUUGGGAACGGGUGAGUAACGCGUAGGUAACCUGCCUUGUAGCGGGGGAUAACUAUUGGAAACGAUAGCUAAUACCGCAUAACAAUGGAUGACACAUGUCAGUUAUGUGAAAGGGGCAAUUGUUCCACUAUUGGAUGGACUGGCGGUGUAUUAGCUAGUAGGUGAGGUAAUGGCUUACCAAGGAGAGGACGGAGAGGCGGCCUGGGAGGGGGACCGGCCACAUUGGGGCUGAGUGACGGCCCAGACUGCUACGGGAGGCAGCAGUGGGGAAUAUUGCACAAUGGGCGGAAGCCUGAUGCAGCAACGCCGCGGGCGGGAGGACGGCCUUCGGGUUGGAAACCGCUUUCAGCAGGGGCGAAGCUUGUGGUGACGGUACCUGCAGAAGAAGCACCGGCUAACUACGUG
rnacentral:rRNA from 1 species